rnacentral:tRNA from 1 species
GCCUCCGUAGCUCAAUGGACAGAGUGGCGAGUUUCUACCUCGCAUCGGUGCGGGUUCGAAUCCCGCCGGAGGCUCAA